GACGAACGCUGGCGGCGUGCUUAACACAUGCAAGUCGAACGGAAAGGCUCCAGCUUGCUGGAGUACUCGAGUGGCGAACGGGUGAGUAACACGUGGGUAAUCUGCCCUGCACUCUGGGAUAAGCCUGGGAAACUGGGUCUAAUACUGGAUAUGACCUUUCUCCUUAUGGGGUUUGGUGGAAAGUUUUUCGGUGUAGGAUGAGCCCGCGGCCUAUCAGCUUGUUGGUGGGGUGAUGGCCUACCAAGGCGACGACGGGUAGCCGGCCUGAGAGGGUGACCGGCCACAUUGGGACUGAGAUACGGCCCAGACUCCUACGGGAGGCAGCAGUGGGGAAUAUUGCACAAUGGGCGGAAGCCUGAUGCAGCGACGCCGCGUGAGGGAUGACGGCCUUCGGGUUGUAAACCUCUUUCAGCAGGGACGAAGCGUAAGUGACGGUACCUGCAGAAGAAGCACCGGCUAACUAUGUG
rnacentral:rRNA from 1 species